GGAGAAACCAUGGGAUCGCAAGACCUUGCGCUCAUUGAGCGGCCGAUGCCUGAUUAGCUAGUUGGUGAGGUAAAGGCUUACCAAGGCGACGAUCAGUAGCUGGUCUGAGAGGACGACCAGCCACACUGGGACUGAGACACGGCCCAGACUCCUACGGGAGGCAGCAGUGGGGAAUUUUGGACAAUGGGGGAAACCCUGAUCCAGCCAUGCCGCGUGAGUGAAGAAGGCCUUCGGGUUGUAAAGCUCUUUCAGCCGGAACGAAACGGUCACGGCUAAUACCUGUGACUACUGACGGUACCGGAAGAGGAAGCACCGGCUAACUACGUGCCAGCAGCCGCGGUAAUACGUAGGGUGCGAGCGUUAAUCGGAAUUACUGGGCGUAAAGCGUGCGCAGGCGGUUUUGUAAGUCAGAUGUGAAAUCCCCGGGCUUAACCUGGGAACUGCGUUUGAAACUACAAGGCUAGAAGGG
rnacentral:rRNA from 1 species